AAAUUAAUUAUUAUUUUAACUCUUCCCUUGUUUUCUCAAAGGCUUUUUUGGGGGUUUAGCUCAGUUGGUUUAGAGCAUCGGCUUUGCAAGCCGGGGGUCAAGGGUUCSAAUCCCUUAACCUCCAUUUAUUUGUUUUUAAAUAAGUGUGAAUUAAGCCUUUUAAGAAAUGUCUUGUAUUAAAAAAGAAGCUAUUCAAACGUAUUGUUGCUUUUAAAGUGUUAUUUUUUGAUUUAUUUAGGUGAAUUUAGUAUUUUAUAUUGAGUUAACAAAUUUUUUCAUGGGCUUAAAAGGUAUGUUUUUAUGUUAUUUGUUAUCCUGAUGAAUUUCUUUUUAUGAAUUCCAAGACUUGAUUACAUGCAAAAACUUUAUCUUUAAUUAUUUUAUUCAUAUUAUCAAGAACCUUAUCAUGAAUCAACCUAAUUG
rnacentral:tRNA from 1 species